AUUUUUAUAGUGUAAAAAAACACAUUACAUUUUCAUUGUAAAACUAGAAACCCCUUUUCUUAAAAAUA
rnacentral:tRNA from 1 species